CGCGAGUUCUUUCGUCGGGUUGUCGCAGCGUGAUUCUGUGAUACUUGGGCUGACCACUCUUUUCUAAUAUCAACUCUGACAAGCCUCAGCAAGUGUAGGUUCUGUGCUUCAUGAAUGAGCAUGCAAGAUAAAACAAAACUCGAACAAAAGAAAAUCAGUUAUAAAUGCACACAGGUGAUGCAGCUGACAUGAGCGGCCUCUCUGUCCACCUGGAGGUGCCCUUCGCCAGUGCCCGGCAAGCCGAGAUCGCCU